GACGAACGCUGGCGGCGUGCUUAACACAUGCAAGUCGAACGAAGAGCGAUGGAAGCUUGCUUCUAUCAAUCUUAGUGGCGAACGGGUGAGUAACGCGUAAUCAACCCGCCCUUCAGAGGGGGACAACAGUUGGAAACGACUGCUAAUACCGCAUACGAUCUAACCUCGGCAUCGAGGAUAGAUGAAAGGUGGCCUCUACAUGUAAGCUAUCACUGAAGGAGGGGAUUGCGUCUGAUUAGCUAGUUGGAGGGGUAACGGCCCACCAAGGCGAUGAUCAGUAGCCGGUCUGAGAGGAUGAACGGCCACAUUGGGAGUGUGACACGGCCCAGACUACUACGGGAGGCAGCAGUGGGGAAUCUUCCGCAAUGAGCGAAAGACUGACGGAGCAACGCCGCGUGAGUGAUGACGGCCUUCGGGUUGUGAAGCUCUGUUAAUCGGGACGAAAGGCCUUCUUGCGAAUAGUGAGAAGGAUUGACGGUACCGGAAUAGAAAGCCACGGCUAACUACGUG
rnacentral:rRNA from 1 species